rnacentral:lncRNA from 1 species
CCAUGUUUGUUGAAGCACUGUUCACAGUAGCCAAGACUUGGAAGCAACCUCAGUGUCCAUCAACAGAUGAAUGGAAACAAACACCUAGGCAUGUGAUACUUAAACUGGUGAAAACCAAAAGGAAUAUAUAAGACAUAUUAAAGAAAGUCCUUCAGGCAGAAAAAAAGAAGGUGUCAGUUGGAAAUCUAGAUCUACACUUAAGAAUGGAAUAAUUUAAGGAAGAAUAAAAUUCAUUUUUUCAGAGUUAUAAUUGUUCUGAAAAAAUAGCUAAUUAUCUAAAGCAAAACUAGUAACAAUGCAUUGUGUGUUAAACACACCACAAACGCUCCCAUUGCCAAUUCUGAAUCCUUAGGAUUCAUUAAGUCUUUACUAAACUCUAAAGAUCACAUUUAUGGUGGCAGCACACAGGAAAAUACAGAUUGUGGAAUAAAGUGAACCUGGACUCAAGCUCCAUGUGCCUUGAUUCAUACCUGCAUGACCUUGGACACCUAACUCUCUAAACUUUAGCAAUUAAACGCUGAACAGAAUGCCCCUCAGAACAGAUCCCCACAGGGAACUCUCAACCCCGCCACGUCCACUGAGGCUUCCUGGUGAGACUUGGUACAUAUAUAUUUUUUUUUAGUAGAGACGGGGUUUCACCGUGUUAGCCAGGAUGGUCUCGAUCUCCUGACCUCGUGAUCCAUCAAAAGCUUAUGUAGGCAAACCCAGAGAAAAUUAAAGAGAUCAUUGCAUAUGCAAAUGUACUGCUAAUUGCAAAUGUAUUGCUUUAGGGAAAAAGCCUCUCAGGACCAGUAUCUGGUAAAAACAAAAUGCUGAUUGGUAUAAAUAAAUAUACACUUACAUGUGAUAAAAACCAAUUUUCCUUAUUUUCUAAUCUGCAUCAGUUAGGUUUCUCUUUGUCAUGAAGCACCUCAAAAUUCAGUGGCUGAAAACCACAGUCAACCAUCCGGCAGUUUGCCAUAGGUACACGAGUGGGCUAAGCCAAGUCCAGAAAAACCUUCCCAGCCCAGCUCAGCCCAAAUGGCAGACCCAGAUAAUUAGAUGCUGUAUUAGUCUGUUUUCAUGCUGCUGAUAAAGACAUAUCUAAGACUGGGAAGAAAAAGAGGUUUAAUGGCUGAAGUAGCUUAUCAGCUUAAGGAGAUUUUGGGCUGAGAUGAUGGGGUUUUCUAAAUAUACAGUCAUGCCAUCUGCAAAUAGGGACAAUUUGACUUCCUCUUUUCCUAAUUGAAUACCCUUUCUUUCUUUCUCUUGCCUGAUUGCCCUGGCCAGAACUUCCAACACUGUGUUGAAUAGGAGUGGUGAAAGAGGGCAUCCUGUCUUGUGCCAG